AAUCAAUCCUUUCUCCGGGCAGCAAAAUGAUCGCCUGUCUUGUAGUUUGCGACACCGGCUAGUUUAAAAUUUGUACCCUACAAAUAUGCAAUAUGUUCACUAUCAUUUGUAAAUAAAUUAUAAUCGUAUCUAGCUAAAUCAAAUUGUUCAAAGUUGGUUUUAGAAUAAAUAAAUAAACAAAUAAUGACAAGGUCGUGACCGUAAUUAAAAUCAUUCCGUGACCCCACAGAGUGUAGCAGUUGAUCCUGUAAGCUCACCUACCCGUCCGGGCGUAGUUGGAUUACCCUCGUAGGCUACCAGCGAAUAGAUAGAGAAAAUUAAUAAAUUAUAUUUGAAGUACCAUUGAAGUUCCAGAUCAUGGCCAAUCCAGUUCGCCGGUAAUAGCCAAACAGCAAGCAAGCUUUGGACGUUCAGAAUACACAUAUGCAUGCGGCCUUGAAGAAAUUUUUGAAUUAUUUAAUUUAAUUCUACUGUAAUCUUGCACAAAUGAACAACAGACUCUUGAUUGGAUUAGACAAAAAGUCAUUGCGCUUUUUCAUUGUGAUAAUGUUUUAAAUAAUAUAUUUAUUUAAAGUUAAUAAAUUGGUUAAGAUUGCUCAUUUUA